UCAUCAUUUACACUAUCCACGCCUCCCUUUUACUGAACCGGAUUUUUUGUGUUCCAUGUGUUCUUCCUAACCCUAAUCAUUUCCUCAAAAUUUCUGCCGGUUCUCUUUCUUCUCUCCUUUGCUCUUAAUCAAUUGUAAAAUGUCUUCUCCUAAAUCAAAGAUCUACUUUUUUUCUACUCUUCACCUUCAUCGCAAUCUGACAGCUAUUUGGAGGUUCGAUUUCUGUUCAUUGAUUUCGAUUUAUUUGGGGUAAAAUCAUUGCAAUCUUGUGUUCCACAUAUACGAUAUUUUAUCUAGGGUUUCCACACAAUCCAAAAGCUAACCUGCUGUCGCAGAGCACCUCUUCAUCACUUUCAUUGGAGGUUUCAAAGACGGAGAUCCGCCACGUGUCUCGGAAAUGGAAGGGCAGUCCUGAACACACAAAGGUCUGGAUUGAGCCUAACAAACUUCGUAGGGUCGCUGUUGUUUACUACCUCUGCCGUAACGGCCAGCUUGAGCAUCCGCAUGUUGAUGUUUCUUUCUCCUGUUCUGAUAGACUGGAUCUUCGAGUUUGUUGAAAUUGUUAGAUGUAAUAGAUUGUAUAAAUUCUCUCCGAGGAAAAUGAAUGGCGGCAAUGUACUCGUGGUCUUCUAAACAGCUAUGUGACUUGCUGUAACGAUGAUGCUUUCGGAGUGGACGAUCUGUCAUGCGGCGCGGCUCAAAGGCUCCGAUGCUCAUGCUUUCGGAGUGGACGAUCGAUGUUCCAGAUCUAUCUAAACCGAUGUCGGAGAUAUCUCCGCUGAUUCUCCGCUUGUAUGCUUUUCAAUUGUUCAAUAAAUCGUAUUUCGUGUUAUAUAUCUAAUAGCAACUUGCUAUUUAAACUUUUUAAUUUACACGUGUAUCAACUAAUAGCAACUAAUUUUGGUUAACUUUUGGGCACUUAGUGAAUUAAUUUUAUUCCCAAGAGACCAAAAUAGUCAAAUGUAAACUGUAACAUCUUUGUUGUGCAGUGUGCGCAUAAUGAUGUUGAGUGUUGAUGAAUCAGGUUGUAGCAAAGAAGCAAACAAUUUCAUACCUGAAUGAUUUACUUGAAAAGGCUGAGAAGCCUGUGUUGGUCGA